rnacentral:rRNA from 1 species
UGGUGGAGUGAUUUGUCUGGUUAAUUCCGUUAACGAACGAGACCUCAGCCUACUAAAUAGUCGCGCGAACAUACGUGUUCGUAGUUCGACUUCUUAGAGGGACUGUCUGUUCUAACAGAAGGAAGUUGAGGCAAUAACA